UACGAGGGGGGCAAGCGUUGUUCGGAAUUAUUGGGCGUAAAGGGUGCGUAGGCGGUCUGAUAAGUCAUCUGUGAAAUCUAUGGGCUCAACCCAUAGUCUGCAGGCGAAACUGUCGGGCUUGAGUAUGGGAGAGGUGAGUGGAAUUUCCGGUGUAGCGGUGAAAUGCGUAGAUAUCAGGAGGAACACCGAUGGCGAAGGCAGGUCUCUGGGCCACUACUGACGCUGAGAAGCGAAAGCAUGGGGAGCGAACAGG
rnacentral:rRNA from 1 species